rnacentral:rRNA from 1 species
ACAAACGCUGGGCGGGCGUGCUUAACACAUGCAAGUCGAACGAUGAACCCGCUUCGGGUGGGGGAUUAGUGGGCGAACGGGUGAGUAACACGUGGGCAAUCUGCCCUGCACUCUGGGACAAGCCCUGGAAACGGGGUCUAAUACCGGAUACGACCACUUCAGGCAUCUGAUGGUGGUGGAAAGCUCCGGCGGUGCAGGAUGACCCCGCGGCCUAUCAGCUAGUUGGUGAGGUAACGGCUCACCAAGGCAACGACGGGUAGCCGGCCUGAGAGGGCGACCGGCCACACUGGGACUGAAACACGGCCCACACUCCUACGGGAGGCAGCAGUGGGGAAUAUUGCACAAUGGGCAAAAGCCUGAUGCAGCGACGCCGCGUGAGGGAUGACGGCCUUCGGGUUGUAAACCUCUUUCAGCAGGAAAGAAGCGAAAGUGACGGUACCUGCAGAAGAAGCGCCGGCUAACUCCCCCCCACCAGCCGCGGUAAUACGUAGGGCGCAAGCGUUGUCCGGAAUUAUUGGGCAUAAAAAGCUCGUAGGCGGCCUGUCACGUCGGAUGUGAAACCCCGGGGCUUAACCCCGGGUCUUCAUUCGAUACGGGCAGGCUAGAGUUCGGGAGGGGGAAAUCGAAAUUCCUGGUGUAGCGGUGAAAUGCACAAAUAUCAGGAAGAACACCGGGGGGGAAGGCGUAUCUUCGGGGCCAAAUACUAACCACUGAAGA